rnacentral:RNase_P_RNA from 1 species
AGCGAUGAGCCGCCGCCGCGUUUUUGCGCUUUGGCGUAAAGAUGAGGAAAGUCCGGGCUCCGCAGGGCACGAUGCCGGGUAACACCCGGGCGGAGGAGACGCAAGGCUCCUUCGACAGAGAGCGCAACAGAAACAUACCGCCUGGCUCCAUUUUGGGGUUCUGGUAAGGGUGAAAUGGCGGGGUAAGAGCCCACCUCCGGUUCGGCAACGUUCCGGCAGUGCAAGCCUCAUCGGGAGCAAAGUCAAGCAGCGGCAGGAUGGCCCGUCCGCGUUUGCCGUGGGUAGACUGCACUGACCGUCUUUGCAAAAAGGCGGCACAGAUAGAUGGCGGCCACGGUUAUUCCGUGAACAGAAUCCGGCUUAUGGUUCAUCGCUUUUU